rnacentral:rRNA from 1 species
AGUGAACGCUGGCGGCGUGCUUAACACAUGCAAGUCGAACGAGAACGGAAUAUAGCUUGCUAUAUUUGUCAGCUAAGUGGCGCACGGGUGAGUAAUGUAUAGAUAACCUGCCCUUAAGAAAGGAAUAACAGUUGGAAACGACUGCUAAUGCCCUAUAUGCCUUUAAUACAUAAGUAUGCAAGGGAAACGCUUUAGUGCUUAAGGAUGGGUCUGUAUGGUAUCAGCUUGUUGGUGAGGUAAUGGCUCACCAAGGCUAUGACGCCUAACUGGUUUCGGGGGAGGAUCAGGCACACUGGAACUGAGAAACGGUCCAGACUCCUACGGGAGGCAGCAGUGGGGAAUAUUGCACAAUGGACGAAGGUCUGAUGCAGCAACGCCGCGUGGAGGAUGACACAUUUCGGUGCGUAAACUCCUUUUAUAUAGGAAGAUAAUGACGGUACUAUAUGAAUAAGCACCGGCUAACUCCGUGCCAGCCGCCGCCGUAA